rnacentral:lncRNA from 1 species
CUAAAUCCUAAACCAAAUCCUAAAUAAACCCUAAAUCCUAAAUCAAAUCCUAAACAAACCUUAAAUCAAACCUUAAAUCCUAAAAAAAAUCCUAACCAAAUUCUAACCAAAUCCUAAACCCUAAACCAAACCCUAACCAAAACCUAUCCCUAAAUCAAAUUCUAACCAAAUUCUAAAUCCUAAACCAAACCCUAAUCAAAUUCUAAAUCCUAAAUCAAAUCCUAAUCAAACCCUAAUAAUUUCUACAACAGAUUUAAACCUCAAUAAUUAAUGAAUGAAUCAUUGAUCUUAACUCAAAAUUUGCAUACUUUUUAAAAAAUAAGUUAAAAAUAAGCACACAAAUUUUGAAAAGGAUCGGAAUUAUAAAAUAGACCAUAACCUCAAAAACGUACUCGGGUAUUGGUCGGCCUCCUUCUUCAACCUUAAUGCCAAUCUUCCAAAGCCAAUAUCUCUCUUUUUUACCGUUCGAUUGAUCUCAAAAUUCUCAUACACAUAGAAAAACAAGUCUAAUAUCCUUUCACACAAAUGUCACUUCAAUCCAACUAGUAGAUUGCAAGAAAUCUCAAAAAUCCUCACUAGACCUAAAAUUCUACUUUCUGAGAUCUUGACUCACUUAAACCUCAAUAACCCUCAAUUCAAAUGUUAAAUCGAGCUCAAAUUUACAACACAUAUUAAAAAAAACUAUAACCUUUAAUCCACAAAAUUUCACUUGUAGAUUUAUUACAAAACUCUUGAAAUCAUCCAAACCC